rnacentral:rRNA from 1 species
UGUUGUUUUCUCGAAAAUCAAUUAAAAAAAGUUGGAUUUUGUAUUGUUAAGACCUUAUCAGCUUACUGUACUCUUUUCUUGCUUUUUUUAAUGCACUUUUCGUUUAACAAGUCAACAUCAAUUUCUUUUGUUGUAAAAGAGUCAUUGGAAGGUGGCUUUCACUUCGGUGAAAGUGUUUAUAGCCUUUGGCUUCUGCAAUCGGAGAGAUUGAGGUCUGCAGCGUAGAUCCUUCGGGGUUAGAUACGUAGAUGCUAAGUUAUAGUUUUUUAUAGACAACUUGUUGACUAUAAUUAAUCAUGUAGCUUACUCGUUUGCGCUAUUUUACCUAC